GAGGAUAUAGCUCAGUGGUAGAGCGCAUGCCUAGCAUGCAUGAGGUCCUGGGUUCAAUCCCCAGUCCCUCCA
rnacentral:tRNA from 1 species